GGGGAAUAUUGCACAAUGGGGGAAACCCUGAUGCAACGACGCCGCGUGGAGGAAGAAGGUCUUCGGAUUGUAAACUCCUGUCCCAGGGGACGAUAAUGACGGUACCCUGGGAGGAAGCACCGGCUAACUACGUGCCAGUAGCCGCGGUAAAACGUAGGGUGCAAGCGUUGUCCGGAAUUACUGGGUGUAAAGGGAGCGCAGGCGGAUUGGCAAGUUGGGAGUGAAAUCUAUGGGCUCAACCCAUAAAUUGCUUUCAAAACUGUCAGUCUUGAGUGGUGUAGAGGUAGGCGGAAUUCCCGGUGUAGCGGUGGAAUGCGUAGAUAUCGGGAGGAACACCAGUGGCGAAGGCGGCCUACUGGGCACUAACUGACGCUGAGGCUCGAAAGCAUGGGUAGCAAAC
rnacentral:rRNA from 1 species